rnacentral:rRNA from 1 species
UACGUAGGGGGCAAGCGUUGUCCGGAUUUAUUGGGCGUAAAGAGCGUGUAGGCGGUUAGGUAGGUCCGUUGUGAAAACUCGAGGCUCAACCUCGAGACGCCGAUGGAAACCAUCUAACUAGAGUCCGGAAGAGGAGAGUGGAAUUCCUGGUGUAGCGGUGAAAUGCGCAGAUAUCAGGAAGAACACCCGUGGCUAAGGCGGCUCUCUGGGACGGUACUGACGCUGAGACGCGAAAGCGUGGGGAGCGAACAGG